rnacentral:rRNA from 1 species
AACGUAGGUUCCGAGCGUUAUCCGGAUUUAUUGGCGUAAAGAGCGUGUAGGCGGCUUUACAGGUCCGUUGUGAAAACUCGAGGCUCAACCUCGAGAUGUCGGCGGAAACCAUCUGGCUAGAGUCCGGAAGAGGAGAGUGGAAUUCCUGGUGUAGCGGUGAAAUGCGCAGAUAUCAGGAGGAACACCGAUGGCGAAGGCAGGUCUCUGGGCCACUACUGACGCUGAGAAGCGAAAGCAUGGGGAGCAAACAGG